CUGGGGGUGGGGUGGGGGGGGUGGGGGGGGUGGGGGGUGGGGGGGGCAGCAUCGUGAUACCUCUUCUGCCUCUCUGAUGUUCUCACCUCGUUCAGCUGAAUCCUGGCCUAAAUCUGAAGAGGGCUCAGCAACUCCAAACUUCUAUAUUUCUCAUGCAUCACAUCCAGCUUUUUAAGAAGAGAAAAUGACUUUAUGUCAAGUACCAAGGGCAAUCUGGAACCUACUCUGUUUACAUGUUCCAGUAUCAUCAGAUUGGAGAAACCAACCCAUGAGAACUUAAAACAUACUUGCAAAAGAUAUUUUCACAGGCCCCAGAAGAUGAACUUCAAUCUGUUGCUCCCAAACACAUUCUCCACUGUCUGGAAGACGUGCAAAGGCAAUGGUACAGCGUUCUCCAUCUCAAAUCCUUCAAAGUGCUGUGGAAAUAAAAGAAUCCCCGCCAAAAGCCCCAGAGAGAUCUGUCUGUCUGUAUGGUAUGGUAAUGACUGAGGCUAGUCCAGAUAGGAUUCUGGGAGAAACUCAGCUAUUGAAACCUAAUGAAUGGAACAGAGACUUUCUUGUUACAAUACUGUUUGUUUCUUCGAUUGGUCAUAUCCUUGGACCUAAGAAGACAUCAAAAUAAAUAAUAAAAGCAAGAUAUUGUUGGAUUGGUCUUUGAAUUUUCAUAUGGUCAUAUAAUCUGUGCAAUUUUCUUAUAGGUAAUUUUGCAUCUAGAUUUAUUUUUUUUCUACCAGCCUUUUGCCUACUAAUUGUGUGACAUUCUUACUUCUUCCCUGUUCUAAUGUCAGCAUCCAGGUUUAGACUCAGGAUUGUAUUUUUCUUUUCAGCAACAGAGAUUACAACAACUUUUGUUGCUCUCCCAGCUACCAAAUUAUGGGUAUAUCCUUUCUUUAAACAUAAUCAAAAUAUUUCUAAUUUUUCUGGUCUUUGGAAUAAAUUUAAGUUCCUUGUAUAAAUAAUGCAAAAUGAGUUACAGGCAGUAAAUAAAUCGUCUUUUGGAUUUUCACCACCCAGAGAUAAUACUUCUUAACCUAAGUGUGAUUCUUCAUACAUAGCAAUGAAAAUAAGUCUUAUUUUCACCAAAGACUUUUCAGGGUUCCCCUGGUCUCUUCUCAGAGGCAACUCUAUUACCAGUGUCUUGUGUUUUCUUUCACAGGUUGUCCACACAAACAUCUUUAUAUGUGCUAUUUUUGCAUGAAAAUGAUAAAUUUUAUGUUUUUUCAAUGCCUUGCCUUUUUAUGUAACAAUAAAUCUUGAAACCAGAAUUUGUAUGGGGGACCAUAGAGGUGAUAUUGUUGGGGGACCAGAGGGCUUGGGGUUUGAGGGAGGAGUGGAAGGGAUUUGCCUUAAGGUUGCCUGUCUAAGCAAGCACACUGUUAUUUGUUAGGUUGUAUGUAGCUGAUCAAUAAAUGGAAAAG
rnacentral:lncRNA from 1 species